AGCCGGGUCCCGCGCAACGGCCAGCCGUGAACUCCGUCAGGCCCGGAAGGGAGCAGCGGCAGCGGCAUGCGUCGUGUGCCGCGGGGGUGCCUGGCUGUC
rnacentral:SRP_RNA from 1 species